ACUGAUGUCUUCCUGGUGGUCUAUUGUCUUCCCCAACAGUUUUCCAAUGUUAAGUUCCUUCAGUGGCCAGUUUGCCACCAAAUCGUGAAGAACUUCCCCUUGUUCCUCUGCAGCUGCUGCUGAGGAGCGUACAUGACAUGUAUUUGGAAGGUCUGUCCUGUGGUGGAUGACUCACCUUGUUGAUCUAUUUGUUUGUUUUCAUUUUGUAGGAAGAAGCCUGGUUAAUAACAUCGCCCAUCAUUAACUCCCCUGUGGGGAUGAAUGAGAUAGGGGCAUUGAGGCUGCAGACCUAUGCGCUAUUUCCAAGGGGAAAGUCUCACUGAACGUAGUGGGACUGACUUCGGAAGAGGCAUGCAUGAUGGAAUUGCUCUGCUGAGGACCUCCAGUGCAAGGCAAUCUGCCAUCUGCUAUGUCUCAGUUUCCAAGUGCACACAAUGUCAGCACUCUAGGGCUCUAGUCUUCAACUGGUGGGCCACGAUGUACCAGGUCACAGCCUGAUCUAAGGUGGGUCGCAAAAGCAGUAUAAUUUCAUGUGGAUCGUGCCCUCUUCCCCAUGGGUUAUGAUUUUCAUAACAAAACAUAAACACCAAUACAUUACUAUUAUGCUAUA